UAGCGCGGACGUUUGGCAGUUGACGCUCAAGACUUUUUUGAAAAAUGUGCAAUAUUUGGCAGUUUCGGGCGAAAAGUUAGUGAUUUUCCCAGCAAUAAACCUGCCCUGCAUCGUUUGGUGGUGUUUUUCCGAUCCACCAGUGGAUUUUAAGCGAAAAACGCGGUUUUUCCAAACGGGAAAAUUUUGACGUUUACUGUCAAACUGGAACAUGGAGACUCAAUACUAAUAGUGCGCAAAUUGUUGACAUUUAAGUGCAUCGAUUGAGGCUUUUUUGGAGCGUUGUGAGGCCAAACUAAUGGACUGAACUUCAUUGGAAGAUCCAGAUUAUUGGUGAGUGCAUUUUUUCAAAAAUUUCACUUGAAAAUAUGGCAAAAUGGGCAGAAAAUUCGAAAUGUUCGCAGCAAUAAAGCAGUCUUCUAGCGGUUACGGAAAUUCGCCCCAUCCUACAGUAUAAUUUUUGCCAAAAAACACGAGUUUUCAAACGGGUAAAUUCUGACGUUCCCUGUCACUCAACUCAAUGCAAACAGUGUUGACAGUCAAGUGCAUCAGCGAAGUUUUGAGGCUUUUUGGAGUGUUUCAACACUCAUGGAGCUGUUUAAAAAAUUCUAGCUCAGUAAACCUGGAAAACUAAGAGUAUUUCUGAUGAAUUUUUCUAUGUUUCGCUGGUUGUAAAUUUGAGGUAGAGUUAGCAAAGAGCAAUUUAGAGCCAUGGAGCUUGCAGACAUCUAAUUCACGUAAUCAAAGCUAUAGUUAGUGAAUAAAUUCACGUAGCGAUAAAACCGUA